GAUGAACGCUGGCGGCGUGCCUCAAACAUGCAAGUCGAGCGGGGCUAUGUAAUAUCGCAAGGUAGAACAUAGCCUAGCGGCGAACGGGUGAGUAACACGUGGGUAACCUGCCUGGAAGACAGGGAUAACGAUUCGAAAGGGUCGCUAAUACCUGAUAAUAUCCUUUCAUCGCAUGGUGAUAGGAAGAAAGGGGAAACCCGCUUUUCAGAUGGGCCCGCGUCUCAUCAGCUAGUUGGUAAGGUAAAGGCUUACCAAGGCGACGACGGGUAGCCGGUCUGAGAGGAUGUACGGCCACACUGGGACUGAGAUACGGCCCAGACUCCUACGGGAGGCAGCAGUUGGGAAUCUUAGGCAAUGGACGAAAGUCUGACCUAGCGACGCCGCGUGAGGGAAGAAGGCCUUCGGGUUGUAAACUCCUGGACUGGGGACGAGGAAGGACGGUACCCCAGUAGAAAGGGACGGCUAACUACGUGCCAGCAGCCCGACGGUAAAAGUACUCUAU
rnacentral:rRNA from 1 species